UGGGGAAUCUUGCACAAUGGGGGAAACCCUGAUGCAGCGACGCCGCGUGAACGAUGAAGCCCUUCGGGGUGUAAAGUUCUUUCGGCAGGGACGAUAAUGACGGUACCUGCAGAAGCAGCUGCGGCUAACUACGUGCCAGCAGCCGCGGUAAUACGUAGGCAGCAAGCGUUGUUCGGAAUUAUUGGGCGUAAAGAGUGCGUAGGCGGUUGGUCAAGUUUGGUGUGAAAUCUCCCGGCUCAACUGGGAGGGUGCGCCGAAAACUGGCCGACUAGAGUGCGGGAGAGGAUAGUGGAAUUCCUGGUGUAGCGGUGAAAUGCGUAGAUAUCAGGAGGAACACCUGAGGUGUAGACGGCUAUCUGGACCGUAACUGACGCUGAGGCACGAAAGCGUGGGUAGCAA
rnacentral:rRNA from 1 species